AUAAUAACAAUAUUGCUAAUAAUUGGUUAAUAUUCAGGUCACGGAAUGUAAAUGGAGUAUUCCUGGCAUUAUUUUGGAUGGUUAUUUAUUGGGUUUUAUGAGCGUAAUAAAGCGGUAGAAAAUGGAUGGAUGGAUGAGCGGAAUACAGAACUUCUUAUUGACUCCAUUGUAAGCGGAUUUUUAGUUAUGUUUAUUUACGAGUUUGAAUGCAUCAAAAUAAGAAAACCGUGUUCUUGUGUCUCAUAAAGAUUGUGAAUUAUAGGCAAAAUUCCCCCAAAAAUCCAGUUCCCCUUUACAGAGGUGCCUUGAGGAACACCUCAGUUAUGUACGUCACAAGUUUGGACCUCAGUGUUCUAUAUCAGUUAGCAAGGUUAAAAUGUCAAUGCAUGGAUCUGCCAAUGUGUUAACAGUGGUCCAAGUUCCUCUAUACAACAAGAGCACUCUCGUAUUUUUCGCAAUUUGCUGCAAAAAUGUUUGUUUCACAAGUUUUGAACUGAACCUGGGACUGGAAUGAUGUCAUUUCUGGGCUGGAUUUGGCCCCCGGGCCGCCAGUUGAAUAGCCCUGAAAUAAACCAUGUUUUUCAAUUCCCCAACAAAAAUAUCAAUUACCAAAACAUACGUUCACCCUACUUUCUGUACUUGUACUACUUGAAGGGUUAAUUUGUUUGCGAGAUUGUACAAAAAAUAUGCAACAGAUUUUUUUGUACACAUGUAAUGUGAUUAACAUAUUUUCUUAUCAUUCUUCUGUUACAGUCCACUUGCAUUGGAGCCAAAUGGUGCAGUACUUGGCCAGAUCCAGCAGAUAGAGCGGCACCUGCAUUGGUGGAAUAUCCCGUUACAUUAUGUAAUUUUUUUAAUCAUCGAACAGAGCUUUUUUAAACGGGACUGUCUCGACCCCAAUGAUGGAGACGGAGUGGGCCUUGUCCGUCAGAGCUGCAGCCACCUCCAUACCUGCCAACAGUCUCAAUCAACACUUAAAAUGUUCAGACUUUAGGCCUGUCAUAAGGAGGAUGUCUGUCCAUGGUGCACAUGACGAUGCGGUCCGUGAAGCCCUCUUGCCUCAGCGUCUCCGCACACACCAGACCUGCUGGACCUGCACACAUCAACCAUCACUCAGAUCUUUGACAUGGCAGACGGAGGCCUCCACGUAGUCUCGUGAUUUGUGGUACGCUUGGAGAGGGGUGGAGUCGUCGUCCGAGCUGUGCCCCAGGGCCCCAUUUGGCCUGCAGUCCGCAAAGGGACUCGCCUUGCCAUUAGGAACAGAUCUCAGCUACAAGAGGCCGCCCAAACUCAAAUUGAGGACAAAUCAAGUGUGACAACUCCACAAGUGGAACAAAUGAAAGAAGGGAGAAGGUGUCUGGACUAAUUUAAAGGGCAAACCUGCCCUCUUUCUUGUCUUUUUUUUUCUUUUUGUUGGCUAUCAUCAUGAAUUCAUUCAUGCUCAGUCUUAAAGCUCAUAAACAGUCUUCUAAGCAGCAAAACAUUUAACAUGGGAAUAUUUUGGUGCUGUCAAACAAUUUCAAUUUGUAAUCAGAUUAAUUACAAUGAAUCACAAUUAGACAUAUCAUUCAUUUUCAUAUAUAUUAAUGGUCAUUUUGCAUGCGCAAAGAGACUCAAGAAAGAGGGUAAAAUACAGUGGAACCUCGAUUUACAAACUUAAUUGGUUCUUGAACAGGGUUCGUAAAUUGAAAAGUUCAUAUAGCGAUACACAAUGCUCCAUAAGAAACAAUGCAAAUAUGAAUAAUGGGUUCCAGCCUCAACAGAAGUCCAUAUUUAAGUGGUUUGUACACUUUGAACACAUAAAGUGCUAUUCAGGACUGUAUAUCAAAGAAACAUAACAAGGGGGUGAUGGAUCAACUUUCGAUUUAGUAACAGGCCAAAAUGACAACACUGACAAGCUACUGUAUUUUGUAUGAGCUGCACUGCCAACACGCGCACACACACAGGGUGCUCUCACAAACAAUCAGAAAUCACAAAAGUACGUAACUUCAACAACCAUAUAGCUACAAUAAUGAACAUUUACAAAACUAAAAUCCACUGACAUUAAAGGAGAACAUUAUCACCAGACCUAUGUAAGCAUCAAUAUAUACUUUGAUGUUGCAGAAAAAAGACCAUAUAUUUUUUUAACCGAUUUCCGAACUCUAAAUGGGUGAAUUUUGGCGAAUUAAACGCCUUUCUAAUAUUCGCUCUCGGAGCAUCGGGAAGCAAUCCGCCAUUUUCUCAAACACCGAGUCAAAUCAGCUCUGUUAUUUUCCGUUUUUUCGACUGUUUUCCGUACCUUGGAGACAUCAUGCCUCGUCGGUGUGUUGUCGGAGGGUGUAACAACACGAACAGGGACGGAUUCAAGUUGCACCAGUGGCCCAAAGAUGCGAAAGUGGCAAGAAAUUGGACGUUUGUUCCGCACACUUUACCGGCGAAAGCUAUGCUACGACAGAGAUGGCAAGAAUGUGUGGAUAUCCUGCGACACUCAAAGCAGAUGCAUUUCCAACGAUA